GAAUCGAGGUUCGGCUCGGGCGGGGACGAGAAGCAGCGCUCGGGCGAGCGAGGACCGAGGCCGGCGCGGGCGGGCGCGGCCUUUGUCUCCUCCUCCCGCGCGCUCCGCGGCUGCACCGGCCCCAUGAGCCCGCGGCUCCCCGUCGCCCGGGCCGUCCGUAGCCCCUGACCUGACCUGUCCUCGCCAUGGCCGAGGCCGCCUCCGGCGCCGGGGGCACGUCCCUGGAGGGCGAGCGUGGCAAGAGGCCCCCGCCGGAGGGCGAGCCUGCAGCCCCGGCGUCCGGAGUUCUGGAUAAGCUUUUCGGAAAGCGGCUCCUGCAGGCUGGUCGCUACCUGGUGUCCCACAAGGCGUGGAUGAAGACGGUGCCUACAGAGAACUGCGACGUGCUGAUGACCUUCCCAGACACGACCGAUGACCACACGCUGCUAUGGCUGCUGAACCACAUCCGCGUGGGCAUUCCCGAGCUCAUCGUGCAAGUCCGCCACCACCGCCACACGCGUGCCUACGCCUUCUUUGUCACCGCCACGUAUGAGAGCCUACUCCGAGGGGCCGACGAGCUGGGUCUGCGCAAAGCAGUGAAGGCCGAGUUUGGCGGGGGCACCCGCGGCUUCUCCUGCGAGGAGGACUUUAUCUAUGAGAAUGUGGAGAGCGAGCUACGCUUCUUCACCUCCCAGGAACGCCAGAGCAUCAUCCGCUUCUGGCUGCAGAAUUUGCGUGCCAAGCAGGGAGAAGCACUCCACAACGUGCGCUUCCUGGAGGACCAGCCAAUCAUCCCGGAGCUGGCAGCACGUGGGAUCAUCCAGCAGGUGUUCCCUGUCCACGAGCAGCGUAUUCUGAACCGCCUCAUGAAGUCAUGGGUGCAGGCCGUGUGUGAAAACCAGCCUCUAGAUGACAUCUGUGAUUACUUUGGUGUGAAAAUUGCCAUGUACUUCGCCUGGCUGGGCUUCUACACGUCGGCUAUGGUAUACCCAGCUGUCUUCGGGUCUGUCCUGUACACAUUCACAGAGGCUGAUCAGACAAGCCGGGAUGUUUCCUGCGUGGUCUUUGCCCUCUUCAACGUGAUCUGGUCGACGCUGUUCCUAGAGGAAUGGAAGCGGAGAGGGGCUGAGCUGGCAUAUAAGUGGGGGACGCUGGACUCACCUGGGGAAGCCGUGGAGGAGCCACGCCCCCAGUUCAGGGGCGUGCGACGUAUCAGCCCCAUCACGCGGGCCGAGGAGUUCUACUACCCGCCCUGGAAGCGGCUGCUCUUCCAGCUGCUUGUGAGCCUCCCCCUGUGCCUGGCGUGCCUCGUCUGUGUCUUCUUGCUCAUGCUUGGCUGCUUCCAGCUGCAGGAGCUGGUGCUGAGCGUGAAGGGGUUGCCCCGUCUCGCCCGAUUCCUGCCUAAGGUCAUGCUGGCCCUGCUUGUCAGUGUGAGUGCCGAGGGCUACAAGAAGCUAGCCAUCUGGCUCAAUGACAUGGAAAAUUACCGGCUGGAGAGCGCCUAUGAGAAGCACCUCAUCAUCAAAGUUGUCCUGUUCCAGUUUGUCAACUCGUACCUGAGCCUCUUCUACAUCGGUUUCUACCUCAAGGACAUGGAGCGCUUGAAAGAGAUGCUGGCCACGCUGCUGAUCACCCGCCAGUUCCUCCAGAACGUGCGCGAGGUCCUGCAGCCGCACCUGUACCGGCGCCUGGGCCGCGGCGAGCUGGGCCUGCGGGCCGUCUGGGAGCUGGCCCGAGCCCUGCUUGGCCUCCUGAGCCUCCGGCGCCCUGCGCCCCGCCGCCUCGAACCCCAGGCGGAUGAGGGCGGGGGCGGCGGCAGCGGGGGCGGGGGCCGCAGGUGCCUCAGCGGGGGCUGCGGGGCGCCGGAGGAGGAGGAGGAGGCGGCGCUGGUGGAGCGGCGGCGGGCGGGGGAAGGCGGGGAGGAGGGGGACGGGCCUCCAGGGGGCAAGGAGGAGGACGAGGACGACGAGGAGGAGGAGGACGAGGAGGAAGAGGAGGACGAGGAGGAGGGCGAGGAAGGGGGCCUCCUGGACUGCGGGCUCCGGCUGAAGAAGGUCAGCUUCGCUGAGCGCGGCGCGGGGCGGCGUCGGCCCGGCCCAAGCCCGGAGGCCCUCCUGGAGGAAGGGAGCCCCACUAUGGUGGAGAAGGGGCUGGAGCCGGGAGUGUUCACCCUGGCCGAGGAGGACGACGAGGCGGAGGGGGCUCCCGGCAGCCCUGAACGGGAGCCCCCGGCCAUCUUGUUCCGCCGGGCCGGGGGCGAGGGCCGAGACCAGGGGCCCGACGGGGGCCCGGACCCGGAACCCGGCUCCAACAGCGAUUCGACCCGUAGGCAGAGACGGCAGAACCGGUCGUCUUGGAUUGACCCGCCGGAGGAGGAACACUCGCCCCAGCUCACCCAGGCAGAGCUGGAGAGCUGUAUGAAGAAGUACGAGGACACGUUCCAGGACUACCAGGAGAUGUUCGUGCAGUUCGGCUACGUUGUGCUCUUCUCGUCCGCCUUCCCCCUGGCGGCGCUGUGCGCCCUGGUCAACAACCUCAUUGAGAUCCGCAGCGACGCCUUCAAGCUGUGCACCGGGCUGCAGCGGCCCUUCGGCCAGCGCGUGGAAAGCAUCGGCCAGUGGCAGAAGGUGAUGGAGGCCAUGGGUGUCCUAGCGAUUGUGGUCAACUGCUACUUAAUCGGCCAGUGCGGGCAGCUGCAGCGCCUCUUCCCCUGGCUGAGCCCGGAGGCAGCCAUCGUGUCGGUGGUAGUGCUCGAGCACUUCGCUCUGCUCCUCAAGUACCUCAUCCACGUGGCCAUCCCCGAUAUCCCGGGCUGGGUGGCCGAGGAAAUGGCCAAGCUGGAGUACCAGCGCCGCGAGGCCUUUAAGAGACACGAGCGCCAGGCCCAGCAUCGCUACCAGCAGCAGCAGCGCAGGCGGCGGGAGGAGGAGGAGCGACAGCGCCAUGCAGAGCACCAUGCCCGGCGGGAGCAUGAUUCUGGUGGCCGAGAGGAGGCGAGGGCCGAGGGCUCUGGGCUGGACCCUGCCACCUCCUCCGAGAAGGCCUCUGCCAAGGCCAAGGGCAGCACUGCGGGUGGCCACGGGCCUGAACGGCCCAAGCGCCCAGGGUCCCUGCUGGCACCCAACAACGUCAUGAAGUUGAAGCAGAUCAUCCCACUGCAGGGCAAAUUCCUCUCGUCAGGGGCCACAUCCUCACUGGCUGCUGCAGGGGCCGGAGCCACCACCCGGCCUCCCCCUGCCCAGUCACCCACAGGCAGCGACACCCGCCUGCCUGCCUUCCUCAGCUUCAAGUUCCUCAAGUCACCCGAGACCCGGCGGGACUCUGAGCGCAGCCACUCACCGCCCAAAGCCUUCCAUGCUGGCAAGCUCUUCCCCUUUGGUGGCACCCGGGCUGAGCCUGGGUCCAACGGGGCGGGCGGGCAGGCCCGGCCAGAUGGGACCCCCAGCAGUGGCAGCAGCCGGGUUCAGAGGAGUGGGCCGGUGGACGAGGCCCUGGCUGAGGAGCUGGAAGCCCCCCGGCCCGAAGAGGAAGGCUCAGGUCACAAGCUUUAACUCGGGGGUGGGGACGCCGGGCCGGCUUUGGGGAUAGGGUAGGGUGGCCAGGCCUGGGGAGAGGGGCUGAAGGGGACAGGGGAAGCCCGGUCUUAGGUCCUGGUGGGGACCUGGGUCAGUGGUACGUGGAGCCUCUCAGUUAAAGCCUGCUUAGUAUCUCCAGGGCCUUUGUUAGCCUGGAGCCCCGUGCCUGACCCUCCCCAGGGAGGGAUGCCAAAGCCCCUUGUCCCAGGACUGCACCCAGGGACCCCCACCAUGCUCCGGUGCCAGGAGAGAUGAGGGAGGCCUGUUUCCCAACCAGCCCACCCUUCUCCUGCUCCAGCUCACUCUUGGGGGGGACUUGACCCCCCAGGCCUCUAUGCAAAUCCACACCCUGCAGCCCAGCUGUUCAGGAAGGCCUUCCUCGAGGUGGGGCUGGGGCUGCCCACCCAGGGAGCUCCCACAUGUGCUGAGCAGAGGUGCAGGCCUCACCCCUACCCUCCCACCCCCACCACCUCCCCUGCCCCAAUCCCAGCCUGGGCUCCAGCAACCCCAUUCCCAGGGAGCCCAACAGGUGGCAGCUGCAGCACAAGGGCCAUAGGUCAGAAGCCAGAGGGACUUCCUCAAACUGUCCUCCCCCUGUGACCGGCAGGGCCGUGCCCAGAGGCAGGGGACAGCGCUGGCCCCCGUGGGCGCCCCUGCCCUCCGCACCCGCCGCAGCCGGAGCCCCGCGCCGCCGCCGCCAAUGCCGCUGCCCCGGCCCCCGACACCGCCCGCAGGCUGCUGGCAGUGGGACGGGCCCUGGGGCUGCGGGGGCGAGGGUGCCGCCCCCCGCCAGGCCCUGGCCGCUGCCGAGUGCCCACCCUGUGCCAUGGCCGGGCCCCCACCCGCCCCCCAGCCCCUGCCGGGAGACGCCAGCUUUUACAGCCUCCCGCCCCCACCGCUACCGCCCACCUCGGAUCCCCUCGAGACCCCAGCGCCCUCCCCUAGCCCCAGCCCCAGCCCCCAGGCCGUGUGCUGGCCCAGCGGCUGGCAUUAGCUCUACCCGCCCUGCCUUCUCUUCUCAUAUGCAAUAUCAGUCAUUCACAGGGGCGGCCGGUCUCCAAAAUGCAAAAUGCGCUUCAGCCCCCGAGGGCCCCCAGUAUUGGUCGGUGCCCCCCAUCUGCCGUUUUCCUUUCCAAACGAAAGGAAACCCACAAAUCCAACAGAAAACACACACACACACACACACACACACACACACAGAACAGGCGAUUAUUUAUUUGUUUUUAAUUUAUUUUGUCAUAUUUUUGUAAAACGGCAGAAAUGCAAUAAAAACUAUAUUUCAACAGUG